UAGGCAAUGUUUGCAAUGUGCCUCCUGGG
rnacentral:piRNA from 1 species